GUAGGUGGUUUAAAAAGUUAGAGGUGAAAUCCCAGAGCUUAACUCUGGAACUGCCAUUAAAACUUUUCAGCUAGAGUAUGAUAGAGGAAAGCAGAAUUUCUAGUGUAGAGGUGAAAUUGGUAGAUAUUAGAAAGAAUACCAAUUGCGAAGGGAGCUUUCUGGAUCAUUACUGACACUGAGGAACGAAAGCAUGGGUAGCGAAGAGGAUUAGAUACCCUCGUAGUCCAUGCCGUAAACGAUGUGUGUUAGACGUUGGAAAUUUAUUUUCAGUGUCGCAGGGAAACCGAUAAACACACCGCCUGGGGAGUACAACCGCAAGGUUAAAACUCAAAGAAUUGACGG
rnacentral:rRNA from 1 species